AUUGAACGCUGGCGGCAUGCCUUACACAUGCAAGUCGAACGGUAACGCGGGGCAACCUGGCGACGAGUGGCGAACGGGUGAGUAAUGCAUCGGAACGUGCCCAGUAGUGGGGGAUAGCCCGGCGAAAGCCGGAUUAAUACCGCAUACGACCUACGGGUGAAAGCGGGGGACCGUAAGGCCUCGCGCUAUUGGAGCGGCCGAUGUCAGAUUAGGUUGUUGGUGGGGUAAAAGCCUACCAAGCCGACGAUCUGUAGCUGGUCUGAGAGGACGACCAGCCACACUGGGACUGAGACACGGCCCAGACUCCUACGGGAGGCAGCAGUGGGGAAUUUUGGACAAUGGGGGCAACCCUGAUCCAGCCAUGCCGCGUGCGGGAAGAAGGCCUUCGGGUUGUAAACCGCUUUUGUCAGGGAAGAAACGCUCUGGGCUAAUACCCCGGGGUAAUGACGGUACCUGGAGAAUAAGCUCCGGCUAACUCCGUGCCAGCAGCCGCGGUAAAAC
rnacentral:rRNA from 1 species